AAGACAUAAUAUAAUUAGAAAAAAUUAGUGUUUUUGUUGGGGUGAGAUUUUGGCUAAGGUUAUGUACUAUGCUGAUGUUUACUGUAACAAGAAUAGUAGAGAGAAGAGAAAGCUGAAGAAGAAGGUAUUGGAAGAAAAUCAAUGUUAAAAAUGGAGAAGAAGAAGAAAAUUUAUGUUUUGUACUUGCCUGUUCUAAGAUUUUUAUUUUUUUUUCCUUUU
rnacentral:misc_RNA from 1 species